GACGAACGCUGGCGGCGUGCCUAAUACAUGCAAGUUGAGCGCUGAAGGUUGGUACUUGUACCAACUGGAUGAGCAGCGAACGGGUGAGUAACGCGUGGGGAAUCUGCCCUUGAGCGGGGGACAACAUUUGGAAACGAAUGCUAAUACCGCAUAAAAACUUUAAACACAAGUUUUAAGUUUGAAAGAUGCAAUUGCAUCACUCAAAGAUGAUCCCGCGUUGUAUUAGCUAGUUGGUGAGGUAAAGGCUCACCAAGGCGAUGAUACAUAGCCGACCUGAGAGGGUGAUCGGCCACAUUGGGACUGUGACACGGCCCAAACUCCUACGGGAGGCAGCAGUAGGGAAUCUUCGGCAAUGGACGAAAGUCUGACCGAGCAACGCCGCGUGAGUGAAGAAGGUUUUCGGAUCGUAAAACUCUGUUGGUAGAGAAGAACGUUGGUGAGAGUGGAAAGCUCAUCAAGUGACGGUAACUACCCAGAAAGGGACGGCUAACUACGUG
rnacentral:rRNA from 1 species